rnacentral:rRNA from 1 species
GCCGUAGGUGAACCUGCGGAUGGAUCAUUU